rnacentral:rRNA from 1 species
AUUGAACGCUGGCGGCAGGCCUAACACAUGCAAGUCGAGCGGAGCGGCGGACGGGUGAGUAAUGCCUAGGACUCUGCCUGGUAGUGGGGGAUAACGUCCGGAAACGGGCGCUAAUACCGCAUACUAUCAGAUGAGCCUAGGUCGGAUUAGCUAGUUGGUGGGGUAAAGGCCUACGAAGGCGACGAUCCGUAACUGGUCUGAGAUGAUGAUCAGUCACACUGGAACUGAGACACGGUCCAGACUCCUACGGGAGGCAGCAGUAGGGAAUCUUCGGCAAUGGACGAAAGUCUGACCGAGCCACGCCGCGUGUGUGAAGAAGUUCUUCGGAUUGUAAAGCACUUUAAGUUGUGAGGCGUUACCAACAGAAUAAGCACCGGCUAACUCCGUGCCAGCCGCCGCGGUAAUUC